rnacentral:rRNA from 1 species
GAUGAACGCUAGCGGGAGGCUUAACACAUGCAAGUCGAGGGGCAGCAUAGGGUAGCAAUACUCUGAUGGCGACCGGCAAACGGGUGAGUAACGCGUAUGCAACCUACCCUGUACAGGGGGAUAACCCGGAGAAAUUCGGACUAAUAUCCCGUAAUAAUAUCCGGAGGCAUCUUUGGAUAUUUAAAGUUCCGACGGUACGGGAUGGGCAUGCGUAACAUUAACUGGUUGGUAAGGUAACGGCUUACCAAGGCUAUGAUGUUUAGGGGUCCUGAGAGGGUGGUCCCCCAACUGGUACUGAGACACGGACCAGACUCCUACGGGAGGCAGCAGUGAGGAAUAUUGGUCAAUGGGCGCAAGCCUGAACCCAGCCAUCCCGCGUGCAGGAAGACGGCCCUAUGGGUUGUAAACUGCUUUUCCAGGGAGAGAAACUUACGCACGUGUUGCGUGACUGACGGUACCCUGGGAAUAAGCAUCGGCUAACUCCGUG